UCCAGACCAUGAGGCUCUCUAUAGGUUCCAGACCAUGAGGCUCUCUAUAGGUUCCAGACCAUGAGGCUCUCUAUAGGUUCCAGACCAUGAGGCUCUCUAUAGGUUCCAGACCAUGAGGCUCUCUAUAGGUUCCAGACCAUGAGGCUCUCUAUAGGUUCCAGACCAUGAGGCUCUCUAUAGGUUCCAGACCAUGAGGCUCUCUAUAGGUUCCAGACCAUGAGGCUCUCUAUAGGUUCCAGACCAUGAGGCUCUCUAUAGGUUCCAGACCAUGAGGCUCUCUAUAGGUUCCAGACCAUGAGGCUCUCUAUAGGUUCCAGACCAUGAGGCUCUCUAUAGGUUCCAGACCAUGAGGCUCUCUAUAGGUUCCAGACCAUGAGGCUCUCUAUAGGUUCCAGACCAUGAGGCUCUCUAUAGGUUCCAGACCAUGAGGCUCUCUAUAGGUUUGACUUUAUUAUGGCCCUGAUAAACUAUUGUUGUGGAUGGGAUGGUUCAUUUAAAUCCUUUAGAA